rnacentral:rRNA from 1 species
AUUGAACGCUGGCGGCAGGCCUAACACCUGCAAGUCGAACGAGUGGCGGACGGGUGAGUAUUGUCUGGGAAACUGCCCGAUGGAGGGGGUUAACUCCUGGAACCGGUAGCUAAUACCGCAUACCAUCGGAUGUGCCCAGAUCGGAUUAGCUAGUAGGUGGGGUAACGGCCCACCUAGGCGACGAUCCCUAGCUGGACUGAGAGGAUGACCAGCACAACUGGAACCAGGACACGGUCCAGUCUCCUACGGGAGGCAGCAGUGGGGAAUAGUGCACAAUGGGCGAAAGCCUGGUGCAGGCAUGCCGCGUGUAGGAAGAAGGCCUUCGGGUUAUAAAGUACUUUCAGCGAGGAGGCGUUACUCGCAGAAGAAGCGCCGGCUAACUCCGUGCCAGCAGCCGCGGUAAUAC